CAGAGGAACCCCAUCAAACUUGGAUUUUGUAAGUAGUUGCGAAUGAACACAAAUUUGAUCACUUUGGCAAUCUGUACACAUUGYUGUGUAACAAUUUGUAUACGUUGGCACAGUGCUAUCAAAGCUGCAUGCAAGUGUUUUUUGAAAGGAUACAACAUGGGAUGUGAUAUUCAUGUGUGUGUGCCUGCUUUGUCCACAGCCUGUGCUGUAUGAAUCACAUUUCUUGCAACUGAAAUGCUAAUGGCAUGGUAAAGUUCAUGUGACAUGACACAAGCUUGAGAUUCAUGAUGUGCAAGUACCAUGAGGGAAAUGUGAAAAGGACUUUGGAAAGAGAAUUAAAUAAAGCCUGCAUUUGCUGACAAUGAAAGCAAGUGUGGAUGUUCAUGUAAUUGUUACUGCAUCAAUCAAUGUUCAUCUUGGUUACUGCAUGCUUUAUAUUACAGCUCAGAACAUGAAGUGUGUGUAACAGCUCUGCUUUGAUUUUUCCCACAUGGGAUCAGUUGAAACAUUGUGAGAGCACUCUUCAGUUUCCUUAUGUACCCACCAGCUUUGUCCACUCGCGUGUUGGCACACAUGUAAUGAUGAUGUGUUUAUGCAAGAUACUUCUGUGCUCAACAACAUGUUGUGUCAAUCCUC
rnacentral:rRNA from 1 species